UGCAGUCGAACGAUGAAGCCGCUUCGGUGGUGGAUUAGUGGCGAACGGGUGAGUAACACGUGGGCAAUCUGCCCUGCACUCUGGGACAAGCCCUGGAAACGGGGUCUAAUACCGGAUAUGAUCACCGGCCGCAUGGUCUGGUGGUGGAAAGCUCCGGCGGUGCAGGAUGAGCCCGCGGCCUAUCAGCUUGUUGGUGGGGUGAUGGCCUACCAAGGCGACGACGGGUAGCCGGCCUGAGAGGGCGACCGGCCACACUGGGACUGAGACACGGCCCAGACUCCUACGGGAGGCAGCAGUGGGGAAUAUUGCACAAUGGGCGCAAGCCUGAUGCAGCGACGCCGCGUGAGGGAUGACGGCCUUCGGGUUGUAAACCUCUUUCAGCAGGGAAGAAGCGCAAGUGACGGUACCUGCAGAAGAAGCACCGGCUAACUACGUGCCAGCAGCCGCGGUAAUACGUAGGGUGCGAGCGUUGUCCGGAAUUAUUGGGCGUAAAGAGCUCGUAGGCGGCCUGUCGCGUCGGAUGUGAAAGCCCGGGGCUUAACCCCGGGUCUGCAUUCGAUACGGGCAGGCUAGAGUUCGGUAGGGGAGAUCGGAAUUCCUGGUGUAGCGGUGAAAUGCGCAGAUAUCAGGAGGAACACCGGUGGCGAAGGCGGAUCUCUGGGCCGAUACUGACGCUGAGGAGCGAAAGCGUGGGGAGCGAACAGGAUUAGAUACCCUGGUAGUCCACGCCGUAAACGUUGGGAACUAGGUGUGGGCGACAUUCCACGUCGUCCGUGCCGCA
rnacentral:rRNA from 1 species